rfam:Paracoccidioides brasiliensis strain Pb18 mitochondrion, complete genome.
GUGAGCCGUAUAUGUGGUGACAUGUACGUACGGUUCUUUGAGGGGAUUUAAUCGUAAGAUUAUUUUCCAUCUCUAGUGGUAAUUUUUUAUUACCUAUUUUAAU